rnacentral:tRNA from 1 species
UCCCCAAUAGCUCAGCGGUAGAGCAAUCGGCUGUUAACCGAUUUUAGUCGUAGGUUCAAAUCCUAUUUGGGGAG